GGAGAGAUGCCGGAGUGGCCGAACGGGCACGCUUGGAAAGCGUGUGUACGGGAAACUGUACCCAGGGUUCGAAUCCCUGUCUCUCCGCCA
rnacentral:tRNA from 1 species